UGCACGCGCACCGGGACUAGUAUUCGCUAGUAGUACCUAAUUUAUCGACCUCGAAAGGAUGAAAGGCAAAGUUGACCUCGGCGGAAUUUGAACUCGGAACGUAAUGGCAGACUAAAAACUUAAAGGCAAAGACUAAAAUAAUUGGAAUUGCCCGGCCGAAUAUUUGUUAUUGUUGACAAACGAAACUAGUCUUCUUUGCGGUCACAUGAUCGUCUGUCGAAAAUGGAAGAAGUUGACAGAAUUAUUAUCCAUUCAUUGAGAACUUUAAAGUGCUUCAUUGAUGACGAUGUUACAAAUCUCCAGCAGUUUACAACUGAUGUAAUAGUGUCUGCAGCAGCUAAGUGCUUGAAAGCUAUUAACAAUGCACUUGAUUUGCCCAAUAAAUUGCCGGCAGGUAUGUCAGCACGCUACAGAAUUGGAACUGCAUUGGCACACCAUAUCCAGGAAUUGGGAUAUCAAGGAGAAAUUGGAUACCAAACAUUCCUCUAUUCUAAUGAAACUGAUAUCAGAAAAAUCUUUAUUUUUCUCAUUGAGAAACUUCCUAAAGAAAGUGUUGGUACUACAGAUGAAACUCUUGAUAAAUCUGUCAUUCUUCAGAGAAGCAUUGCAGCUAAACUUGCUUUGCAGUUAAAGUCUGCAUGGACGCCAGGAUAUAUGGACCGCAACAGUGUGCAGUGGAGAGGUGAACCAAAUGAACUUAUGCGACAAGGAGCUGCUGAUAUUUCUGGUUUCUGUGCUUAUCCAAUAAAGUGGCCAAUUGGUACCAGUGACUUACCCAAGAAGAUCCCCAAAGAAUUACAGAAUUACUAUAUUAAUCAAUUACCUCUCGUUACUAAACAAACUGUUAGACACAACGAUGUGCUAGCAUCUUUACUAGAAGUCAAUGCAAAAGAGAUAACUGCUCAACAGGAACUGGAAAAUGAAUUAAGCAAGGCUGCUUUAACAUCACGUAUUUCAGAGCAGGAAUACUAUGAGAAGAAGCGGCAACGAAUUAAGAAACGCUUGGCAGACCAUAUUCACCAAAAUAUAGAACAUCAAAAUAUUAGAAUUGAUUCGCAGUCUUCUGAAGACCUAAAAGAAGUGAUUAAAGCUAUAGCAGCUUCAGACGUACCAAAAAUGAAAGGUUCUCGUUUCACCCACACUGAGAAACUGCAAUUCACUAAAGAAGAUGAGAAAAUUGCUCAAAUUAGUGAAGCCGCUACUAAAACUUCAGAAGAUUCAGAAGAAGAGCAGAAAUUGAAACGUGAAGAGGAGAUUCAGGCAUUAAAUGAAGAAUUAAAUGACCAUCGUUCCAAGGCAGAACAAACUGAUAUAGAAAUGAAAAAGUUUGUUGCUGGGAAGCAGAAAAUGAUGGAGGAAAUUGAACUAACCAAGAGGAAAAAUGCCGAGAAAGAAGAAAAAUACCAUGUGAAGAAAAGAACACUUGAUUUACUUCCAGAUGCUGAAAACAACAUAAAAAUGUUGAAGUCAGUCGUUGACAACAGUGCUCAAAGAUUGGUUAGCUUGGCCACCCAAUGGGAGUCACACAGAGUACCACUUAUCGAAGAGUACCGCACACUGAAAGAACUCAGUUCUUUGAGAGAGUUUGAAGCUGAAAAGAAAUUAGAAGAAAUAAAAACAUUCCGAGAAAAGAUGAAGGAGAUUGCUACUGAAACCCGAUCAAAAGAUGAACUUUGCAAACAAUUGGUUAAUGAAUAUGAGAAAAUGACCAAAGAUGUCAACCGGUCUUCUUACACACGCCGUAUUAUUGAGAUUGUCUCAAAUAUCAAAAAGCAAAAUGCUGAAAUUGAUAAAGUUCUUAUAGAUACUAAAGCUUUGCAGAAAGAAAUCAACUUCCUCACUGGUAAACUUGAUCGUACCUUCACUGUAACUGAUGAACUUGUCUUCAAGGAUGCGAAAAAGGAUGAGUCAGUGAGAAAAUCUUACAAACACUUGGCUGCUUUACAUGAGAAUUGUGAAGCACUAAUUACAACCAUACAAGAUACAGGUGUAAUAAUGCGAGAAAUUCGAGACUUAGAAGAUCAGAUUGAGAAUGAGUGCCAAAAAUCUGUUAAAACUAACAUGGAGAAGAUUACAAACGACUAUCAACAGAUGAAGAAAGAAAAUGCUGCAUUGAUGGCAAAACUAAAAGAAAAGUCUUAACUGUUCAUAAAUGAGGGGGAAAACUAAACAAAUAAAAUUUAAUUUCCUAAUAUUCCAGAUAUUGAUUGUUAAGGAGCAAAAAAAAAAUCUCAAAGAACUCCAACCGGGAACUUUAUGUUUUGAAAUGAAAAUAGAAACA